GCCAUGCCACAAUUAGGCUACCGUCCUGUUUCCUUUUCUUCCCGUUGUGCUGCAGAUGCCGCAGCCGAUUCUUCUAGGUAUAUACUGCCUCGGCACCUACUCAUCUUUAUGUGACCUCAUACCUCGCGAUCGCCUUCCUCCGCCUGUGGAAUCUCGGAUCUGUGAUGUUCUCUCUUAAGUCCCAACACAAUUCUCUGUCAAAUUACUUGUGCAUGCAGUUGUCUCACCAUCUUUAGUUUGGUGCAACGAAGCCUUGGCGAUUGCAUGGCUGAGCUAUCAUUGAAUGAGUUGAUUAAGGCUCUGACUUUAAGAUUAGAUCCAUGAAGAAAGUGUUACCCGAAUAUGGAUGUCUGGUGUUUAUACAACCAGGUGUUUCGUGUAAUGGUUACAUCUUGAAAGCUAUGUCUACGCUUCCUUAUUGCAUUGUGGUCCGUAUCGUCCUUCUAUACACAUUAGUUUGACCAUCGUUAGUUCAGUUCAUUGGUGUCAUCAUUUUCUUCGUUGUUUUCUUAAACAACAGAAUCAUCUGGAUUGCAAGUAAGAACUUCUAAAUAACCAUGAACAUUUGAUUUUAUAGCAUGCAGUAAGAUUUCCUUAUCACAUUCUUCUCCCUGAACCCUACCUACAUCUAUGUACCAGUUGCAGUGGUGGAUAGCAGGAGCUGAGCCGAGAAGGACGAAGAGAUAGAUGAAUUAUUCUUAGGAUAAUCGCCGUCAGUGAGGACCAAUCCUUCCGUCCCUUCCAGUUCUCCUCACGGUUAAUCCCGCGCAAUUCGAUUUGUACAUGAUAUGUGUGUGCUGUGUAAUGACAGUGGUAAACGAAAAUUUCCCAUUGCAUUAAUCCUGAUUUGCAUGUGUAUGUCGAUGUUGCUGCUUUUCAUUUACAUGGUCUUCAUCGAUACCAACAAGACAUCAUGUACAGAUGGUUGUCGCACAGAUUGAUGCUACUGCUUUUGAUUUUCAGGGCCUACUCACAAACGAUAUGCAUGCGUAGUCCUUCAAAAACAAGGGAACCGUCAUGUUGAUAAGCGAGUCGUUGCCUCCCGAGGUGAACUGCUUAGGAUCAGACGCUAAUCAUCUCUGGAAUUUUGAUCUUCUGCAUGGAGAGUACUCACCGGUGGCAGCUCCAUGAGUACUUGCCGGAGUAUAUGUCUACGUGUCUAAGGAAAAAGAAUCAAGGAAAGGCAUAUUUUCUUCUGCAGCCAUACCUCGGUUGUUCAUCCGAUUGUUGUGUGUUAUUCUGGUGCAUAGCAAGAGAAGCCUCUUCUAAAUCAUGUUGCGGUUCGCCUGUCCUGUGUGUUGCUUUGAUUCAAAAAAAAACAAGAUCGAGAAGCACAAGGUGACUACCGUAGAUGGAUCUGUCACCCGCUGCCUCCAUCGAUUCAACAUUGGAUUGCAAAACUGCAACGCAGGACCCUCAGCCAUGCAGUGAUCACUAUUUUUUUGCAGACCAUUCUGUACAGGCUUCUCCCUACCAUGUGUAAUCUAUCAGGCAUGUAUGCAAUGCACAUUUAGGCGUGCCAUCGUACUAUAGGCUAUGCGUGCUUGACAUAAUGUGAUUUUG